rnacentral:piRNA from 1 species
UUGACAUGCCAUUUGGCAAGAGGAGAC